GACGAACGCUGGCGGCGUGCUUAACACAUGCAAGUCGAACGGAGAGGGCCUGCACGUAGAGUACCCGAAUGGCGAACGGGUGAGUAACACGUGGGUGAGCUGCCCUGCACUUCGGGAUAAGCCAGGGAAACUGGGGCAAACAACGGAUAGGAGCAAACUUUAGAGAGAUGGUUGGAAAGUGUUAUCGGUGUAGGAUGAGCUCGCGGACUAUCAGCUGGUGGGUGGGGUAAUGGGCUACCAAGGCGGCGACUGGUAGCCGGCCUGAGAGGGUGGACGGCCACAUUGGGACUGCGAUACGGCCCAGACUCCUACGUGAGGCAGCAGUGGGGAGUAUUGCACAAUGGGCGCAAGCCUGUUGCGGCGACGCCGCGUGGGUGAUGACCUCCUUCGGGUUGUAAACUCCUUUCGCUGGGGACGAAUCUUUUUGUGACGGUACCUAGAUAGGAAGCACCGGCUAACUACGUG
rnacentral:rRNA from 1 species